rnacentral:tRNA from 1 species
GCGCGGGUGGCCCAGCGGCUACGGCAGUCGGCUGCAACCCGACUAUUCGAGGGUUCGAGUCCCUCCUCGCGCU